rnacentral:rRNA from 1 species
GACGAACGCUGGCGGCGUGCCUAAUACAUGCAAGUAGAACGCUGAAGGGAGAGCUUGCUCUUCUGGAUGAGUUGCGAACGGGUGAGUAACGCGUAGGUAACCUGCCUGGUAGCGGGGGAUAACUAUUGGAAACGAUAGCUAAUACCGCAUAAUAGUAGAUGUUGCAUGACAUUUGCUUGAAAGGUGCAAUUGCAUCACUACCAGAUGGACCUGCGUUGUAUUAGCUAGUUGGUGGGGUAACGGCUCACCAAGGCGACGAUACAUAGCCGACCUGAGAGGGUGAUCGGCCACACUGGGACUGAGACACGGCCCAGACUCCUACGGGAGGCAGCAGUAGGGAAUCUUCGGCAAUGGACGGAAGUCUGACCGAGCAACGCCGCGUGAGUGAAGAAGGUUUUCGGAUCGUAAAGCUCUGUUGUAAGAGAAGAACGAGUGUGAGAGUGGAAAGUUCACACUGUGACGGUAUCUACCAGA